UACAGAGGUCUCAAGCGUUGUUCGGAUUCAUUGGGCGUAAAGGGUGCGUAGGCGGUUCGCUAAGUUGAAUGUGAAAACUCUGGGCUUAACCCAGAGCCUGCAUCCAAAACUGGCGAACUGGAGUACUGGAGGGGAAAGCGGAAUUCCUGGUGUAGCGGUGAAAUGCGUAGAUAUCAGGAGGAACACCGGUGGCGAAGGCGGCUUUCUGGACAGUAACUGACGCUGAGGCGCGAAAGCCGGGGGAGCAAACAGG
rnacentral:rRNA from 1 species